AGGCCUAGAGUCUAAUCAGGGAAUUCUACCAGUAGCCCUGAUCAGUUUCAGAAUUGCUGCAAUUUCAGAAUGGCUGUGGAUCAGAUACUUCUGAAACGUUUGCUGAGCCCCGGUCUAGAGCACUGGAGAAGGGUUUGGACUAACGGUAAAGAUGUUGGAGUCAAGAGCAUCUAAGUAAUAUUUGAAGUUAUGGGAAGAGAUGGUUUGACGUGUGUACAGAGGGCCUGGUCCCCAGGUCUGUCACCCUGUGGAGGAGAUAAGUCCUAGGCUUCACCAGGCAAGGUAUCAGAGAUACAAGUGUCAUUUGAGUCUGCCCCUACCCAGCCCGGGAACAAGGGGAUUCACAGUUGCCUAUAUUCCCUCCUAGUAGGCUGGGUGUUCUGUCGCCACCUGUUCCCCUCCAGGCCUUGGUUGUUGGGUGCAGGAAUGAGAUGUGGGCUCUCCCAGCGAAAGCUCCUGUAAGUCUUCAGGUGUGGAGGCCUGUACCUAACAAACCUGGGGCAAAGUGAAGACUUCCAAGUGAUGCCCCUUCCUAGGUGGCUGUCAGCUGUCUCCCUGUCCUCCCACCUUCUCUUCCAAGGCCUGGGUCUUAUUGAGGCAUCUUUUGAGGAGAUGAGGAAUGAGAGCCUGUGGUUCUUAAAGGUAUUUGGACUUACCCUCCAGAGCCGAAGAGCAAGAGAGGACACACAGUUGGUCCUCUGCACGCUGAAGCUGGCUGCCUGUUCUGCACCAAAAUUACUGUAAUAAUUGAAAGGACCUAAAUCACCCUUGCCAAAUGUCUGCAUGGGUUACUAUAUCGUCCUCCAGACCUGAAGAGCAAAUGUGUUCCAUUUUGCCAGCUGCCCCAUUCUGUGGACUCAACCUCUGUCCACUCUCUAAAGCUUCGUGCUCUCAGCAUGCUGGCUAUCCACCACUCAGGCCUCUUUGCCUUGAGGUUUGCAAAUCCUUGCAGCUGUAAUUCAAAUCAAUGUUUUCUCUUUCUGCUCUCAGUUAAAAGGAAUUCAGCUCUUCAAUCUUGUUUAAUCUGCAUUUAAUUCUCAACUGAAGGGACCGAGUUCCACUUGGUAUAAUAUAAAUAACAAAUGGCCGUGAA